rnacentral:rRNA from 1 species
AACGAACGCUGGCGGCAGGCCUAACACAUGCAAGUCGAACGGACCCACAGUAAGAGCUUGCUCUUGGGGGAGGCGAGUGGCGGACGGGUGAGUAAUACAUGGGAAUCCUCCGUUACGGUGGGGAUAACGUAGGGAAACUUACGCUAAUAACGGAUACGACCUACGGGUGAAAGCAGGCGAUGUUUGAACCUGGCGCGAGUGAAUGAGCCGAUGUCGGAUUAGCUAGUUGGCGGGGUAAAGGCGGACCAAGGCGACGAUCGGUAGCUGGUCUGAGAGGAUGAUCAGCCACAUUGGAACUGAGACACGGCCCAGACUCCUACGGGAGGCAGCAGUGGGGAAUCUUGCGCAAUGGACGCAAGCCUGAUCGAGCAAUACCGCGUGAGUGAAGAAGGACUUCGGAUGGUAAAGCGCUGUUGUUGGGAAAGAAAAGCAGCUGGUUAAUAUGCUACGGUUAUGACGGUACCCAAAGAAUAAGCCCCGGCUAACUUCGUG